rnacentral:rRNA from 1 species
AGGCUUGCUGGGUGGAUUAGUGGCGAACGGGUGAGUAACACGUGAGUAACCUGCCCUUGACUCUGGGAUAAGCGCUGGAAACGGCGUCUAAUACCGGAUACGACCUGCCCCGGCAUCGGGUGCGGGUGGAAAGUUUUUCGGUCAAGGAUGGACUCGCGGCCUAUCAGGUAGUUGGUGAGGUAAUGGCUCACCAAGCCGACGACGGGUAGCCGGCCUGAGAGGGUGACCGGCCACACUGGGACUGAGACACGGCCCAGACUCCUACGGGAGGCAGCAGUGGGGAAUAUUGCACAAUGGGCGAAAGCCUGAUGCAGCAACGCCGCGUGGGGGAUGACGGCCUUCGGGUUGUAAACCUCUUUUAGUAGGGAAGAAGGGCUUCGGCUUGACGGUACCUGCAGAAAAAGCACCGGCUAACUACGUGCCAGCAGCCGCGGUAAUACGUAGGGUGCAAGCGUUGUCCGGAAUUAUUGGGCGUAAAGAGCUCGUAGGCGGUUUGUCGCGUCUGCUGUGAAAACCCGAGGCUCAACCUCGGGCCUGCAGUGGGUACGGGCAGACUAGAGUGCGGUAGGGGAGAAUGGAAUUCCUGGUGUAGCGGUGGAAUGCGCAGAUAUCAGGAGGAACACCGAUGGCGAAGGCAGUUCUCUGGGCCGUUACUGACGCUGAGGAGCGAAAGCGUGGGGAGCGAACAGGAUUAGAUACCCUGGUAGUCCACGCCGUAAACGUUGGGAACUAGAUGUGGGGACCUUUCCA